rnacentral:rRNA from 1 species
ACGCUCGACACCCGGGUGGCAGCAGUGGGGAAUAUUGGGCAAUGGGCGCAAGCCUGACCCAGCAACGCCGCGUGAAGGAAGAAGGCCCUCGGGUUGUAAACUUCUUUUGUCAGGGACGAAGCAAGUGACGGUACCUGACGAAUAAGCCACGGCUAACUACGUGCCAACAGCCGCGGUAAUCUGAGCGGGCUGGCAAGGC